UUUCUUGCAUAUAUGUUCUUGUGUAUGCUUUAUAUCAAUUUUCCUUCUUUAAUUUUCUUCCCAUUUUAUAAAUCCAUUUAGCUGUCAUUCCCACAUCAUGCUAACUUAACCAAUUGUGUUGAUUUUAGAUUUAUUUUUGUCAGAGGAGACUGUUCAAAAGAUUAUAUCCCUCUUUAAUUUCUUGGUGAUGACACUGAACUGUGUGCUCAUCAGAGCAUAUUUGAGUUUUAUUUCCCUUUAUUACUAGAAGCCAGGUAAAUCUUGAUGAUUUUUCUGCCUAGGAAAAGGAACGCUUCAAAAGAGCUGUAGCCUCGGGAGAGCUAAGCAAGUCGAUCAUACCAUGGGAUCCAUGAUGGCUGAAGCCUUCUGCCAAAUCUAUAUCACUCACUCAGGAUGGAGCCAACCUUGUCCAAUCCCUUGUCCAGCAAGAACUGGUAAAAUCAUCAGAAAUUGAUAUGGAAAGCAAUCAAUUGCAUGACGUUCCACAUGUUUUGGGGCUUAUGGACGAUGCAAUUAGCCUUCUUUAUCUUGAAUGUGAUGCCUUAGUUUGCUUGGUUUCUAAUAUGCAGAUGCUGAUCCUAAUAACCCUUAUUGAGACCUGAAUUAUAUAGCAUGUUAUUAAUCAAACGGAACAAUGUCAUGCCCAGUGAACAAAAAAAUAUGCAAUUUGAGGGUAAGCCUAUUGGUGGAUCACAGGCAUUCCAAGUUGAAGAUUUUUCUUGUAUGUUGAAGAAUGUUGCUAUAAUAUCUGAAGACGAGGACGUCGAGAUGUCCCAAUAUUACUAUCGCUAGGAAAAAUGAGAUAUUGAAAAGAGCGGGAAACUGAAGGAAGGAGCUCCAUAAAAUGUUACCGCCUAUGUAAUUGCUUAAAACAAUGUUGAUUGUAGUUGUCAUGGUGUACGAAGCUUAUUGUAAUCGUGAAAUGUUAUUCAAGUAUGUCCCUAUAUGUAUUUAUGAAAAAGUUUGAACAAUGAAGACUUGCUUUUGUUUUUGAAAAGUUCGCUCUUGUUUUAUUGUUUUUGGGAAGUUUGAUCGAAGUCGGGUUGAGAAAAUUCCCAAGUUCUUGGUGCAUUUUCCUGGUCUACCUUUGCUGAACUUGUUUAAUUGCUCUUGUUCAAAUUGUUGUUGGUCUUCAGUUUUAGUUCUAGUCAUUUGUCUCUUCCAAAUUGCAUCAAGUUCAACGACUGCAGCUCUAUAUUGUCCUAAAACAUGCGAG
rnacentral:lncRNA from 1 species